rnacentral:tRNA from 1 species
ACCUGGGUGGCUCAGUGGUUGAGCGUCUGCCUUCAGCUCAGGUCGUGAUCCUAGGGUCCUGGGAUCGAGUCCCACAUCAGGUU